rnacentral:rRNA from 1 species
CCCGCUGAACUUAAGCAUAUCAGUAAGCGGAGGAACAGAAACUAACAAGGAUUCCCCCAGUAACGGCGAGUGAAGCGGGAUCAGCUCAAAUUUAGAAUCUCGGCAGAGAAAUCUGUCGCGAAUUGUAGUCUAAAGAAGACAAGGAUGGGUGAGCGAGUUGAGCAAAUCUCCUGGAAUGGAGUGCCAGAGAGGGUGAGAGCCCCGUCAAUCGACCCGAUCAUCCAAACCCUCUGUCUUUCAAUGAGUCGAGUUGUUUGGGAAUGCAGCUCAAAAUGGGUGGUAAAUGCCAUCUAAAGCUAAAUAUUGGCGAGAGACCGAUAGCGAACAAGUACCGUGAGGGAAAGAUGAAAAGAACUUUGGAAAGAGAGUUAAACAGUACGUGAAAUUGCUGAAAGGGAAACGCUUGAAGUCAGUCACGUUGACUCGGAAUCAGCUCUGCUUUUGCUGGGUGUACUUUCUUGUCAAUGGGUCAGCAUCAAUUUUGACCAUUGGAUAAAGUUGCUGGGAAUGUAGCAUCCUUUUGGAUGUGUUAUAGCCUGGUGAUGCAUACAGUGGUUGGGAUUGAGGAAUUCAGCACGCCACCAGGCCGGGUUUUGACCACGUUCGUGCUUAGGAUGCUGGCAUAAUGGCUUUAAUUGACCCGUCUUGAAACACGG